rnacentral:misc_RNA from 1 species
CCAGCCAAUGGUGCCUAGGGUAUCAGCUAGUCAGUCGACAAUGGCCAUGUCAUCAUUAAUGCCUUCUGCUUCAAUGGAGCCCAUAAGUGAAUGGGCAGCUGAUGGCAAUAGAAUGACAAUGCAUAACAGAAGUGUUUCUGAGCCAGAUAUUGGUAGAACUCCAAGACAGGUUGAGUCGCCAAAGGAAGGAACCUCAUCUAGUGCACAAAGCAAAACGUCAGGUUCAGGCACGGCAUCUCGCUUUGG